rnacentral:rRNA from 1 species
CAGUAGCCGCGGGAAUACGUAGGUGGCAAGCGUUGUCCGGAAUUAUUGGGCGUAAAGCGCGCGCAGGUGGUUUAAUAAGUCUGAUGUGAAAGCCCACGGCUCAACCGUGGAGGGUCAUUGGAAACUGUUAAACUUGAGUGCAGGAGAGAAAAGUGGAAUCCCUAGUGUAGCGGUGAAAUGCGUAGAGAUUAGGAGGAACACCAGUGGCGAAGGCGGCUUUUUGGCCUGUAACUGACACUGAGGCGCGAAAGCGUGGGGAGCAAACAGGAUUAGAUACCCCCGUAGUCCCUGUCUCUUAUAC